rnacentral:rRNA from 1 species
UACGGAGGGGGCUAGCGUUGUUCGGAAUUACUGGGCGUAAAGCGUGCGCAGGCGGUUGUGCAAGACAGAUGUGAAAUCCCCGGGCUUAACCUGGGAACUGCAUUUGUGACUGCACAGCUGGAGUGCGGCAGAGGGGGAUGGAAUUCCGGCGUGUAGCAGUGAAAUGCGUAGAUAUGCGGAGGAAACACCGAUGGCGAAGGCAAUCCCCUGGGCCUGCACUGACGCUCAUGCACGAAAGCGUGGGGAGCGAACAGG